rnacentral:tRNA from 2 species
GGAGCAGUGGCCGAGUGGUUUAAGGCGGCGGUCUUGAAAACCGCUUCACCCUUCGGGUGACGGGGGUUCGAAUCCCUCCUGCUCCG